GUUUGGUCCUAGCCUUAACCUCAACUAUUGCUUGACUUACACAUGCAAGUAUCUGCACACCCGUGAAAACGCCCCCACCCCUCUGACAGAACGGGGAGCCGGUAUCAGGCACAAACUAUUUUGCCCAUAACACCUAGCCACGCCACACCCUCAAGGGUACUCAGCAGUGAUAAAUAUUGCUCAUUAGCGCCAGCUUGACUCAGUCAAAACAUACAGAGCCGGCCAAUACGGUGCCAGCCGCCGCGGCUACCCCGCUUGGCUCAAGUUGACAUUAUCGGCGUUAAGCGUGAUUAAAGUAACCCUCAUAUUAGAAUUAAACCCGAACCAAGUUGUGACACACUUGUUUUAAGAAACCCUAAAACGAAAGUUAUUCUAACCUUACUUGAACCCACGACAGCUGGGGCACAAACUGGGAUCAGGUACCCCACUAUGCCCAGCCGUAAAAUAUAAACUUACACACACCACCGCCAGGGAAUUACGAGCCCAACCUUAAAACCCAAAGGACUUGACGGUGUCCCACCCACCUAGAGGAGCCUGUUCUAUAAUCGACACUCCCCGAUUUACCUUACCCCUUCUAGCACACUCAGUUUGUAUACCUCCGUCGCAAGCUUACCCUGUGAAUGAUUAGUGAGCUUAAAGGUAAAACACCAAUACGUCAGGUCAAGGUGCAACUAACGAAGCGGAAAGCAAUGGGCUACAAUUUCUACCAUAGAACACACGAAAAACUGCAUGCAACACAGUCAUGAAGGUGGAUUUAGCAGUAAAAAGAAAACAGAAAGUUCUCUUUAAUCAGGCGCUGGGACGCGUACACACCGCCCGUCACCCUCUUCAAGUUCCAACAAGACGAGGCAAGUCGUAACAUGGUAAGCGUACUGGAAAGUGCGCUUGGCUCAACAAAAUGUAGCUUAGUAAAAGCACCCCGCUUACACCGAGACGACGUCCACAAAUAGACCAUUUUGAGCCUAACACUAGCCCAACAUUUAACACACCUCCCCCCUCCCCCCAAAAAACAUUCUCACUAUCCAGUAAAGGCGAUUAAAAAAUGAUUUGGAGCUACAAAAAUAGUACCGCAAGGGAAUUAUGAAAUAAAGUGAAAAAUCCAAAGCACACUACAGUAAAGUUCUCACCUUGUACCUUUUGCAUCAUGAUCUAGCCAGUUCAACCAAGCAAAACGCAUUUAAAGUUUGACCCCCCGAAACUAGGCGAGCUACUUUAAAACAACCUACCAGGGCCAAUCCAUCUCUGUAGCAAAAGAGUGGAAAGAUUUUUAAGUAGAGGCGACACACCUACCGAGCCUAGAGAUAGCUGGUUAUUCAGGAAAAGGAUUUUAGUCCAACUUUAAGCUUCUUCAAUAACCCUAAAUACCUAACAAGCUUAAAAACCAUUCAACUGGGGUACAGCCCACUUGAAAAAGGAAACAGCCUACAACACCGGGUAAUGAUUUAUCCAAUCGUGGCCGAGUAAGCCUAAAAGCAGCUAUCUCCUAAAAAGCGUCCAAGCUUUACCACUAACUAUUUAAAUCCCAAUACUUACCCAUAACCCACAAUUACUACUGAAUGAUCCCAUACCCAUAUGGGAGACAUAAUGCUAGAACUAGUAACAAGAAGAAGAACUUCUCCAAAAAUGUAAGCAUAAGCCAAAAUGAACAACUCACCGGCACCUACCGCCACAAGCCUGCAGUAUUACCUUUCCCCACACGAAAACCCUACUACACUUGACGUUAACCUUACACUAGAACAUUACUGGAAAGAUAAAAGGAAGGGGAAGGAACUCGGCAAAAACUAGCCCCGCCUGUUUACCAAAAACAUCGCCUCUUGACUAACUAUAAGAGGUCCAGCCUGCCCAGUGACUAAAAGUUAAACGGCCGCGGUACCCUAACCGUGCAAAGGUAGCACAAUCACUUGUUCUUUAAAUCAGGACUAGUAUGAAUGGCCUCACGAGAGCUAUACUGUCUCCCCCCUCUAAUCAGUGAACCUAAUCUCCCCGUGAAGAAGCGGGGAUACUAAUAUAAGACGAGAAGACCCCAUGGAGCUUAAAACUUGUAUCACUGCCAAAUCACACCAAUCAAUCACGGCAAUAUGACUACUAGUCUUUCGGCUGGGGCGACCACGGAGAAAAACUUAACCUCCAUGACGAAUAUGUCAAAGAACUACCACUCUAAGAAUCAAUAAAUUGACACAUUGACCCAAAUACUGACCAACGGACCAAGUUACCCUGGGGAUAACAGCGCAAUCCAUUUCAAGAGACCCCAUCGACAAAUGGGCUUACGACCUCGAUGUUGGAUCAGGGUAUCCAAGUGGUGCAGCCGCUACUAAAGGUUCG
rnacentral:ncRNA from 1 species